UACAGAGGGGGCAAGCGUUAUUCGGAAUUAUUGGGCGUAAAGAGCUCGUAGGCGGUUUGUCGCGUCUGCUGUGAAAACCUAAGGCUCAACCUUGGGCUUGCAGUGGGUACGGGCAGACUAGAGUGCGGUAGGGGUGACUGGAAUUCCUGGUGUAGCGGUGGAAUGCGCAGAUAUCAGGAGGAACACCGAUGGCGAAGGCGGGUCUCUGGGCAGUAACUGACGCUGAGGAGCGAAAGCGUGGGGAGCGAACAGG
rnacentral:rRNA from 1 species